GUCCGGUGAUAUGUACCACCUACAGUACCUACGUUUUGUUUAACAGGCUUGUAUGGGGAUAUGUACCUCGCAUGUGUCCCGGUGAAAGCAGUAAAUAAUACUCACCUAACACGGUAAAAAAAAACAGAGCAAGUAGUACAGAAGAUAGCAGCAGUACAAUGCGUUGAAUCUUCCUUGCUUCAUUUCUUCUACUAGCUGAUGCAGAUGCUGAGAUCCGUGAGUGUCUGAGCGAGUGCAUGGCCGGCGACAGCGAUGGCGACGGCUGCGAGAUUAAGCCGGUGACCAACCAAAGCAAGCAUUUGGUCUACUGAUUGGCUUGACUGAAUCGAGCACGAGCGAGGGGUCCAUGGCUGGUAUUAUCGCCAUGUCUGAAUCCCACCAACAAAUUGACAAGCUCCCUUGUGUGUUCCUUCUUCCUGCGUCCCCACCUAAUUGUACUCUCCCUACCCAUCAUCAUCAUCAUUCAUCAUCAUCAUCAAAACGGAGCUAGCUGCACAAAUUUAAAAUAUGUCUUGGGACUGGGAAAGAGAGGAUGAAAUGAACAAGAAACAGAGCAAAAUCAAGCUCCGGAGCUGACUAGCUAGCUAGUACUAGUAUAGUAGUAGUAAUGGUGAUGGAGACGGGGCCCGCAGCUAGCUACCUUGUCUUGCGGCGGGGACAUUCAACGCAUUGUACUGCUGUUAUCUUCUGUACUACUUGCUCUGUUAUUUUUACCGUGUUGGGUGAGUAUUAUUUACUGCUUUCACCGGGAUACAUGCGAGGCACUAUUGCUUAGCCUGAUCUAGUGGCAAUGCGACUGCACUGCACUGUCCUCACAUGCAUGCUAGCGUCAUUCAUUCUUUUCCUGGCUUUGAACGCUGGUAUGGAUCGACU
rnacentral:lncRNA from 1 species